GACAACUUGGCCGAGUGGUUAAGGCGACAGACUUGGAUUUCCACGUUGUGGGUAUCUGUUAGGUUCGUUUUCAAAGGUUCGAAUCCUGUAAGCUGUUG